AUGGAGCCGACCUUGAAAUACCACCCUUUAAUGUUUGAUGUUCUAACGUGGACCCGUGAUCCGGGUUGCGGACAGUGUCUGGUGGGUAGUUUGACUGGGGCGGUCUCCUCCUAAAGAGUAACGGAGGAGCACGAAGGUUGGCUAAUCCUGGUCGGACAUCAGGAGGUUAGUGCAAUGGCAUAAGCCAGCUUGACUGCGAGCGUGACGGCGCGAGCAGGUGCGAAAGCAGGUCAUAGUGAUCCGGUGGUUCUGAAUGGAAGGGCCAUCGCUCAACGGAUAAAAGGUACUCCGGGGAUAACAGGCUGAUACCGCCCAAGAGUUCAUAUCGACGGCGGUGUUUGGCACCUCGAUGUCGGCUCAUCACAUCCUGGGGCUGAAGUAGGUCCCAAGGGUAUGGCUGUUCGCCAUUUAAAGUGGUACGCGAGCUGGGUUUAGAACGUCGUGAGACAGUUCGGUCCCUAUCUGCCGUGGGCGCUGGAGAACUGAGGGGGGCUGCUCCUAGUACGAGAGGACCGGAGUGGACGCAUCACUGGUGUUCGGGUUGUCAUGCCAAUGGCACUGCCCGGUAGCUAAAUGCGGAAGAGAUAAGUGCUGAAAGCAUCUAAGCACGAAACUUGCCCCGAGAUGAGUUCUCCCUGACCCUUUAAGGGUCCUGAAGGAACGUUGAAGACGACGACGUUGAUAGGCCGGGUGUGUAAGCGCAGCGAUGCGUUGAGCUAACCGGUACUAAUGAACCGUGAGGCUUAACCUU
rnacentral:rRNA from 1 species